UACGUAGGGUGCAAGCGUUGUCCGGAAUUAUUGGGCGUAAAGAGCUCGUAGGCGGUCUGUCGCGUCUGCUGUGAAAACUCAGGGCUUAACCCUGAGCUUGCAGUGGGUACGGGCAGACUAGAGUGCGGUAGGGGAGACUGGAAUUCCUGGUGUAGCGGUGAAAUACGCAGAUAUCAGGAGGAACACCGAUGGCGAAGGCAGGUCUCUGGGCCGAUACUGACGCUGAGGAGCGAAAGCGUGGGGAGCGAACAGG
rnacentral:rRNA from 1 species